rnacentral:rRNA from 1 species
GACGAACGCUGGCGGCGUGCUUAACACAUGCAAGUCGAACGGAAAGGCCCUGCUUGCAGGGUACUCGAGUGGCGAACGGGUGAGUAACACGUGGGUGAUCUGCCCUGCACUUCGGGAUAAGCCUGGGAAACUGGGUCUAAUACCGGAUAGGAGCCAUUUUUAGUGUGAUGGUUGGAAAGUUUUUUCGGUGUAGGAUGAGCUCGCGGCCUAUCAGCUUGUUGGUGGGGUAAUGGCCUACCAAGGCGGCGACGGGUAGCCGGCCUGAGAGGGUGGACGGCCACAUUGGGACUGAGAUACGGCCCAGACUCCUACGGGAGGAAGAAGUGGGGAAUAUUGCACAAUGGGCGCAAGCCUGAUGCAGCGAGGCCGCGUGGGGGAUGACGGCCUUCGGGUUGUAAACUCGUUUCGCUAGGGACGAAGCUUUUUGUGACGGUACCUAGAUAAGAAGCACCGGCUAACUACGUG